rnacentral:lncRNA from 1 species
CACUUUUAAAAAAUCUUAAAAUACUAAAUUAACUCAACCUCGACUACAAAACCUUAGAAAUUGUUAAUAUUUCUUCAUUUAAUUUCUUAUGGUCUGGAAUGCUUUUUUGAGCUCUUACAAUCUAUAUCUAUAUAAUACUCCCUCCGUCCCACGAAUCUUGACACGUUUUCCUUUUUGGGCCGUCCCACGAAUCUUGACACGUUUCCUUUUUUGGUAAUAAUUACUCCCUCCGUUCCGCUAACGUUGGCUACAUUUGUUUCGGCACGGAGAUUAAGAAAUGAAGUGUUAUGUUUUAAUUGAGUGGGGCCCAUCAAAAUUAUUGAGUUAAUUAAAAUAAUUUCUUCCUUCUUUCACUUUCUUCUUCAUCCACUGCCACCCACCUCCAGCGAAGUCGCCGGCAUCAGUCACCCCCUCCUCCGGCGAAGUUGACGGCAUCAGCCACCCCCUCCUCCAGCGAAGUCGCCGCCACCCUCGUCUCCCUCUGUCCCCCUCGUUUUUUCUUCCUCUGUCCGCCACCUCCAGCGAAGUCACCCUCUGUCCGCCACCUCCAGCGAAGUCGCCGCCAACAAUCACCACCACCGUCGCCAACAACCACCACCGCCG